rnacentral:rRNA from 1 species
GAUGAACGCUAGCGGCAGGCUUAACACAUGCAAGUCGAGGGGUAUGGCAGCAAUGCCUGAGACCGGCGCACGGGUGCGUAACGCGUAUGCAAUCUGCCUUUUACAGAGGGAUAGCCCAGAGAAAUUUGGAUUAAUACCUCAUAGUAUAAUUGAGUGGCAUCAUUUGAUUAUUAAAGAUUUAUCGGUAAAAGAUGAGCAUGCGUCCCAUUAGCUAGUUGGUAAGGUAACGGCUUACCAAGGCGACGAUGGGUAGGGUCCUGAGAGGGAGAUCCCCCACACUGGUACUGAGACACGGACCAGACUCCUACGGGAGGCAGCAGUGAGGAAUAUUGGACAAUGGGCGCAAGCCUGAUCCAGCCAUGCCGCGUGCAGGAUGAAGCAUCUAUGGUGUGUAAACUGUCUUUUAGUACGGGAANAACCCUCCGACGUGUCGGAGACUGACGGUACCGUAAGAAUAAGGAUCGGCUAACUCCGU